rnacentral:rRNA from 1 species
UACGUAGGUGACUAGCGUUGUCCGGAUUUACUGGGCGUAAAGAGCGCGCAGGCGGUCGUUCAAGUCGAGUGUGAAAGCCCCCGGCUCAACUGGGGAGGGUCAUUCGAUACUGAUCGACUCGAAGGCAGGAGAGGGAAGCGGAAUUCCCGGUGUAGUGGUGAAAUGCGUAGAUAUCGGGGAGGAACACCAGUGGCGAAGGCGGCUUCCUGGCCUGUUCUUGACGCUGAGGCGGCGAAAGCUAGGGGAGCAAACGGG